CAUGUGCGUCUCCCUCGCGGACGCAUCGUCUCCGGCCUCCUCCUGGCCUCCCGCACCGCCUAGAUGCCCCUUCCUCAACUCGCCCCAUGCGCGGCUACCCCGCGCACGUCGGCGGCCCAUGGACCCUGCGCAUGUGCGCUCGGUUGCCGGUUGCAGAUGGGAAGCCGGCGCACGCGACGACGGACAGUGAAGCGGUGGGUGCCGGGAUCAUGGAGUUGGAGGCAAAGCGGCUGGUGGCGGACGGCCGCGACAACAACAUCACCUUCGACGAGUUCCACCACUUCCACUGAUACAUCAGCGAACAGAAUAAGGAAGUCCUUAUAAGUGUAGCCUUCAUCCACCUGAAGUAGGCCGAUCUGUCCAAGCUUAGCUAGCCGUGCCAUACUGCUCUCCGUCUCCAUUAGUUCGCCUUUCACCUCUUGGUUUAUGCUCCAUUGCGUGGGACAUCAUGGUUAACCAUUGGUUGAUUUUGCAGAGUCUUACCUGCAGUCACUCGUGAGGGCUCUGUCCCUACUCCUCGACGUCACCAACUUCUCGCGUUGGAUCCAGAGAAAAGACGGAAGCUCCAGCAAAUCCUUAGUGAGUUAACAAUAUGAUUAGGGAAUCUUGAGGUUAUUUUGUUGUUAUUAUUUUGACAACUAGCAAACUAGAUGAAUUGUACUGCAGUCUGAUAUUGCAGGAUUGGCAACAAGAUGGAGCUUGAACAAUGUGAGGCUGUAGUGAAGGCAACCGUCCAGUUGCUGAACAAGGUGGUGAUCAUAUAAUUGUGCUAUCUUUUUCAUGAAUUUUGCACUCUAUGUUCUUUUCAGCUGGUAGCAUACAGAACAAGUUUGUUCAUGCAUAAUAGGAAUUGUCAUAUUUCAAGGUAAGCAUCUCACAUGAAAACUUUCUUGCCAAUAAAUAAUUUAAGUAAGAUGUAUGUAACUUGAACCAUGUGCACUUGCACAUUGUUGUUGCUACAUAUUUUAACACCAAUGAGUUAUGGCAUGAAUUUAUUAUCACGUCUUGUGCUUUGUAAGACCGCGUGAUUUAAACUGCGCCUAAUAUCACUAUGGGAAUACGAAAACACACGCCACUUCUUGUAGUCUAUAUUUUGAAAUUGGAAUAUACUUUAUUUCCAUGCAACCUCAAACAAUAGCCACUGGACGCAUAAUAGUAGACAUUUACAUUCAGACUCGAUAGCCACUGGACGCCUUGUAAUAGUAGACAUUUACAUUCCGGCUAAAUUGGAAUAAUAUGCUAAGAGGCUACCUCAAGAUUCGAAUGAAACUUAUCCAAUUUGAGAAGGUAAUUAUUUCAAUUUUUGUACAAAAAAUCGUCAGAAGUGUUUGUUAUCAACAUAAUUACUCUUCUGUACUCUUAAGCAUGUAAUGCAUGUCUUCCACUUACAUAGUACAAAUCUUGCAAGUGAUGAUUUCUUUUUAUCUGGCAACAUGUAGUUUUGUUAUUCUACUUACAAAUGGCACACUGGAGCGGCACUUUCGCAUCCAGCAAAUAGAUCAACAAUGAUGAAAUAUUUGCAUCAGUACAUCACAAAGUAAGAUCAAAUAGAUAUCAUGUAUUGAUCUGCUUGAGAACCCACUUCCUUUUCAUUCUUUGAGGCAAUGCCAUCAAGGACUUGAACUUGUAAUCAACUGCAACAAGAGUGCUUCAAUGUUACAGCUAUAUACACAAGUUACAGUGCUCCGCAUCCAGCAAAUUUUAUUCAGAGAGCACUUCAAUGUUACAGCUAUAUACACAACAUAACUAGUGAACUAACUAGCUGGAUAAUCUCACCAAACCUAGUCAAUUAAUUGGUCAAUUAAUCUUACCAUGUAAUUCUAGUUAGAGAGAUUAUUCUAUAGGUUUCAAAGUAGAUAAAAUGAAUACAACUUACGCGUACUUUAUAAUGUGAAAUUUAUAAUGUUGCUUAACACUAUACCGCAUUAUACAUAGCUUUUUGGAUUCGUUGCCAUUUCUAGUUGAUUAUUUCUCUGCAUCCAGAAUUAUUUUGAUCGAGAUAUGCAUGCCAAACGAGCGAUGGUUAUGUUAUAGAUGAACUUUUUUUUGUUUAUCAAUAGUCAGUGACCAAUGAGAGUGCAUCGCUGUACGUACAGUUUGUUAGUCAAUGAUUCACUUAUUUGUACUAAUAUUUGCUGUAUAUGAUUUGGAUGCUCUCAAAUGAUAAUGACCAAGAAUUUUCUCUUUCAAAUGAUCUGGUGGUGAAGUUCACUUAUCUAUCUUGUUUGUCUAGUGCAUACUGUGUAGAAGCUCUUUUAAAUCUAUCUAGGUGACAUGAACACAUAAAUGAGAUCUGCUGGAGAUGGUGCAUCAACUCUUAGUGCCAUGGUACUGUCACAUGAUCUCUAAUUUGAUUUCCAUUGUCAUCUCCUUCCUCCCAGGCCGGCCACCUUCUCCAGUUUUCA